UCUUUUCUUUUUUCUUUUUUCUUUUUUUCCUGGGUGCAACAGAAAAUACAGCCAAAAUUUUCUAGUCAAAAAGGGAUCCUUUGGGUACAAGACAAGAUGAAAAGUGGGAAAAUAUGAAAGGUUAAAAGAAGGAUGAAAAGCUUUAAAGUUGUGUGCCUUAAAUGCCUUUCUUUCUUUUUCGUGGCUACCAAACAGGGAUUUUCCUUU
rnacentral:lncRNA from 1 species